rnacentral:rRNA from 1 species
AGCAGCCGCGGUAAUUCCAGCUCCAAUAGCGUAUAUUAAAGUUGUUGCAGUUAAAAAGCUCGUAGUUGAAUUUCGGGAUUGACACAUCGGUCGUGCCUUAAGGGGUAUGAACUGGUGUAGUCAAUUUCUCACCUUCUGGAGAACCGCGAUGUCCUUAAUUGGGUGCCGCGAGGAACCAGGACCUUUACUUUGAAAAAUUAGAGUGUUUAAAGCAGGCAUUUUUGCUUGAAUACAUUAGCAUGGAAUAAUAAAAUAGGACGGCAUGAUUCUAUUUUGUUUGGUUUCUAGGAUCACCGUAAUGAUUAAUAGGGAGUAGUUGGGGGCUAUUAGUAUUCAAUUGUCAGAGGUGAAAUUCUUGGAUUUAUUGAAGACUAACUACUGCG